GAGUUUGAUCGUGGCUCAGAUUGAACGCUGGCGGCAGGCCUAACACAUGCAAGUCGAGCGGUAGAGAGAAGCUUGCUUCUCUUGAGAGCGGCGGACGGGUGAGUAAUGCCUAGGAAUCUGCCUGGUAGUGGGGGAUAACGCUCGGAAACGGACGCUAAUACCGCAUACGUCCUACGGGAGAAAGCAGGGGACCUUCGGGCCUUGCGCUAUCAGAUGAGCCUAGGUCGGAUUAGCUAGUUGGUGAGGUAAUGGCUCACCAAGGCGACGAUCCGUAACUGGUCUGAGAGGAUGAUCAGUCACACUGGAACUGAGACACGGUCCAGACUCCUACGGGAGGCAGCAGUGGGGAAUAUUGGACAAUGGGCGAAAGCCUGAUCCAGCCAUGCCGCGUGUGUGAAGAAGGUCUUCGGAUUGUAAAGCACUUUAAGUUGGGAGGAAGGGCAGUAAAUUAAUACUUGCUGUUUUGACGUUACCGACAGAAUAAGCACCGGCUAACUCUGUGCCAGCACG
rnacentral:rRNA from 1 species